rnacentral:rRNA from 1 species
UAAGCAAUUAUACCGCGAAACUGCGAAUGGCUCAUUAUAUAAGUUAUAGUUUAUUUGAUAGCACCUUACUACAUGGAUAACUGUGGUAAUUCUAGAGCUAAAACAUGCUAAAAAUCCCGACUUCGGAAGGGAUGUGUUUAUUAGAUUAAAAACCAAUGCCCUUCGGGGCUGCUUGGUGAUUCAUAAUAACCUCUCGAAUCGCACGGCCUUGCGCCGGCGAUGGUUCAUUCAAAUUUCUUCCCUAUCAACUUUCGAUGCGAAGGUAUUGUCUUCGCAUGGUUACAACGGGUAACGGAGGGUUAGGGCUCGACCCCGGAGAAGGAGCCUGAGAAACGGCUACUACAUCCAAGGAAGGCAGCAGGCGCGCAAAUUACCCAAUCCCGACACGGGGAGGUAGUGACAAUAAAUACUGAUACAGGGCUCUUUUGGGUCUUGUAAUUGGAAUGAGUACAAUUUAAAUCCCUUAACGAGGAACAAUUGGAGGGCAAGUCUGGUGCCAGCAGCCGCGGUAAUUCCAGCUCCAAUAGCGUAUAUUAAAGUUGUUGUGGUUAAAAAGCUCGUAGUUGAACCUUGGGCCUGGCUGGCCGGUCCCCCUCACCGGGUGCACUGGUCCGGCCGGGCCUUUCCCUCUGUGGAACCGCAUGCCCUUCACUGGGUGUGCCGGGGAAACAGGACUUUUACUUUGAAAAAAUUAGAGUGCUCCAGGCAGGCCUAUGCUCGAAUACAUUAGCAUGGAAUAAUAGAAUAGGACGUGUGGUUCUAUUUUGUUGGUUUCUAGGACCGCCGUAAUGAUUAAUAGGGACAGUCGGGGGCAUCAGUAUUCAAUUGUCAGAGGUGAAAUUCUUGGAUCUAUUGAAGACUAACUACUGCGAAAGCAUUUGCCAAGGAUGUUUUCAUUGAUAAGGAACCAAAGUUAGGGGAUCGAAGACGAUCAGAUACCGUCGUAGUCUUAACUAUAAACUAUGCCGACUAGGGAUCGGACGGUGUUUAUACUUGACCCGUUCGGCACC